rnacentral:rRNA from 1 species
UUAUUAGAUAAAAAGCCAGUUCAUGCUUUUACAGUAUGAAAAUUGGUGAUUUAUAAUAACUUAGCAAAUCGCAAAGUGAAAACAGGCGAUAAAUCAUUCAAGUUUCUGACCUAUCAGCUUUCGACGGUAUGGUAUUGGCUUACCGUGGCAGUGACGGUUAACGGGGGAUUAGGGUUCGAUUCCGGAGAGGGAGCCUGAGAAACGGCUACCACAUCUAAGGAAGGCAGCAGGCGCGCAAAUUACCCAAUUCUAACAGUUUGAGAGAGGUAGUAACAAGAAAUAACAAUACAAGGCAGUUAAAAUGCUUUGUAAUUGGAAUGAUAGAAAUUUAAACCCUUUUUAAAGUAUCAAUUGGAGGGCAAGUCUGGUGCCAGCAGCCGCGGUAAUUCCAGCUCCAAUAGCGUAUAUUAAAAUUGUUGCAGUUAAAAAGCUCGUAGUUGAAGUUCUGCUGAAAGUAACCGGUCUGCUUU